rnacentral:ncRNA from 1 species
CCAAAAGCGAUGAAUGGGAAAAGUAGGAAGCGUAACUGGAUGCCAGAGAGGGGUUGGCUGGUGCGAAACCCUAUCCGGAACGGUUCUGAAAUGCGCCCCAUGAGCUGACCUCUGAAACGGGCGAUUGCGUCCAUGUAGGAGCGUUCCGGUACCCGCCGUUAUAGGGUGAAGGGGAAUUCUGCGUUAGCGGAAUUCAAGCAGAGUGGAACCGCGGGCAUAACCGUCUCUGCA